GGCGGCGCGCCUAANACAUGCAAGUCGAACGGUGAAGAGGAGCUUGCUCCUCGGAACAGUGGCGGACGGGUGAGUAACACGUGAGCAACCUGGCUCUAAGAGGGGGGACAACAGUUGGAAACGACUGCUAAUACCGCAUGACACAUCGGAAGGGCAUCCUUCUGAUGUCAAAGAUUUUAUCGCUGAGAGAUGGCCUCGCGUCUGAUUAGCUGGUUGGUGAGGUAAUGGCCCACCAAGGCGACGAUCAGUAGCCGGACUGAGAGGUUGACCGGCCACAUUGGGACUGAGAUACGGCCCAGACUCCUACGGGAGGCAGCAGUGGGGAAUAUUGGGCAAUGGACGCAAGUCUGACCCAGCAACGCCGCGUGAAGGAAGAAGGCUUUCGGGUUGUAAACUUCUUUUGUCAGGGAAGAGCAGAAGACGGUACCUGACGAAUAAGCCACGGCUAACUACGUG
rnacentral:rRNA from 1 species